AGCUCGAUAGUCUAGUGGUAGGGCGUUGGGCUCAUAACCCAAAGGUCGUCGGAUCGAGACCGACUCGAGCUA